AUGAAAAUUUAUAUUCAAACUAUUUUAGUUUUAUGCAAAGCACAUCAGUGCCUAGUCUUUUCUUUCAUUAAAAAAUUGAAUGGAAAUGCCAUGGAAAUUCAGCUUUUUGUCAUUGAAUGUCAGGGAAAAUGGCUUCGAGUGAAAAUUUUUAAUGUUUUAAUUUUCUUUUGCACUUUUCAACAAUUUAUGAUUGAUGAUUGUGUGUCUGUUUCAGCUCUGAAAGCACUACAGGAGCGCUUCAUGAAGCACUUCCAGCCCGCACCUCGUCCCAAACGCGAGCGCACAUUACAGCUUAAUGUGGUGAGGAAAGACAGCAGUUCAUCAGGACAGGAGGAGCUGCACUCUGAAUCCAUCACAAUCACUGUCAAGGAGGGAGAAGAUGAGCCAGCCAAUGUCAAACCAGGUGAGAAACUGGUGCUGUUGAAGUCUCGUUUGCAGCAAGCCAUGGCCAUCCGCAGGAAAGAGGAGCGAGAGAGAAGAGCUGCUCUUCAUCGCCUCGAUAAUGAAGACUGUGAGGAAGAGGAGGAAGAAGAGAUGACCGAGUCAGAGGAUGAAGAGGGUGUUGAUGAAUUGCUGGGAGAUGGUAAUGGUGAUGAUGAGGAAGAAGAGGAAGCGAUAGACAGAGAGGAAGCAGAAGAUGAAGUUUCUGUGAAAACCUGCCCAUCUCCAGGCUUCAAGAGUCCGUCUCCGACUCCAGCAGACACUGACGGCACAUUGAUGCUGUUUGCUGGAAGCUCCUGUUCCCGCACAGGGGAUGGUGUGAGAAGAAUAGGAGCAGCUGGCCAUGAAGCUGACAAUAAAAUGGAGGAGGACGACACGCUUUCGUUGGCUAAGGACAGCAGUCAUAACAGUAGCUUUGAGCUGAUGGGCUCCAUGAUCACCUCGUAUCAGCCGAACAGAGCUGCAAGUCGAGGCCUGUCCAGCAGUGCUUUCCGCUCCCCGUCUCCCUGCCUCUUUAGAUCCAGCUUUCUGGGCUCGGCCUCAAAGAGCUCUGGUAAGAUGUCCGAGCCGUCCCUGUCUCUGCCUGUGGAGGAUUCCCAGGACCUCUAUGCUCCGUCAUCCCCCAGUGAAUCUGCUCUCCCUCCGGCUGGAGACUCUCAGGGACGCUUCUCCCUGGAGGACGACACUCAAUCACAACUACUGGACGCAGACGGAUUCCUGAAUGUGGGUCCUCGCGGCGGUCCCUCACGCUCGCACAAACGCCAGCUCAUACUCGACAGCCUGGAUGAAAACGCUAUGGAUGCUAACAUGGGAGAGCUUCUGGGGCUUUGCUCGGGGGGCUUCGGCACGGGGCAGACCCAGCCCGGAGACUCUCAGCCUGGGGCAGAGGAUGAGCUGCUGGGGUUGUGCUCUGGAGCUUUUACCACACAGCCUGGAGAGCCUGCUGCUGCUGCUGUUGUUGAUCUCAGGGAGAAAAACAACACUUCAGAGGCAGAAGAGCAGAGAGAGGAGAGCCGUGGAGGAUCUGAGGCGGAUAUGGACCAGCUGCUGGCGCUCUGCUCCGGAAAGUUCACAGGAAGCCCAUCUGCUUCGUCACUAAGAUCAGUCUCCAGUCCUGCCUUUGAAAAGACGUCUGAAACAAACAGGUACUAAACUAAAUUCAUCAACUUGUAAAUGCGUUUUCCUAAUGUGUUAUUGGAUUUGUCUAAACCAAAAAAUGUUGGUACAGUUUUUGAUACAGUAGUGCAGAUUACUCAGUUGAGUCCCAAACUGUAGUAUGUUGAAAAGAAUAUGCCUAAGGAUCCUGGAUGCUCUACUUCAGCGGUGUCCAAACUUGGUCCAGAAGAGACGGUGUCCUGCUGAGUUUAGCUCCAACAUGCUUCAACACAUCUGCAAGGACGUUUCUUGUACAUCUCGUAAGAGCUUGAUUAGCUGACUCAGGUGUGUUUGAUUAGGGUUGGAGCUAAACUCUCCAGGGCACUGGCCCUCCAGAACGGAGUUUGGACACCCCUGCUCUACUAUUUCUGGUGGAAAUUCAAAGUGUGGAACAGUCCAUACUCAAACCACUAAUAUAACCAACNNNNNNNNNNNNNNNNNNNNNNNNNNNNNNNNNNNNNNNNNNNNNNNNNNNNNNNNNNNNNNNNNNNNNNNNNNNNNNNNNNNNNNNNNNNNNNNNNNNNUUUUUUUUUUUUUUUUUUUUUUUUUUAUAUACAUAUAUAUAUAUAUACUCAUAUAUAAAAAAAAAAAAAAAAAAAAAUAAAUAAAAGAAAGAGAGAGACAGAGACACACACACAGACUCUGUGUGUGUGUAUAUAUAUAUAUAUAUAUAUAUAUAUAUA
rnacentral:lncRNA from 1 species